CUACACUCCUACGGGAGGCAGCAGUGGGGAAUUUUGGACAAUGGGCGAAAGCCUGAUCCAGCAAUGCCGCGUGAGUGAAGAAGGCCUUCGGGUUGUAAAGCUCUUUUGUCAGGGAAGAAACGGUGAAAGCUAAUAUCUUUUGCUAAUGACGGUACCUGAAGAAUAAGCACCGGCUAACUACGUGCCAGCAGCCGCGGUAAUACGUAGGGUGCAAGCGUUAAUCGGAAUUACUGGGCGUAAAGCGUGCGCAGGCGGUUUUGUAAGUCUGAUGUGAAAUCCCCGGGCUCAACCUGGGAAUUGCAUUGGAGACUGCAAGGCUAGAAUCUGGCAGAGGGGGGUAGAAUUCCACGUGUAGCAGUGAAAUGCGUAGAUAUGUGGAGGAACACCGAUGGCGAAGGCAGCCCCCUGGGUCAAGAUUGACGCUCAUGCACGAAAGCGUGGGGAGCAAACAGGAUUAGAAACCCCAGUAGUCCCA
rnacentral:rRNA from 1 species